AAGCCUCUUGGUUCAAGCAAUGCCCAA
rnacentral:ribozyme from 1 species